CGAGCUCGCUCUCUCAAAUAUAAACAUUAAAAAAAAUUUUUUUUUGAAACGAAGAAGAGGAAAGGACCUCCUUUCCUACCCAAAUUAGAGAUCAAAGAGUUCCUAGAUAAUUGCAAGCCCCUAAAGGCCAGGUAGGGUCACUCUGUCACCUCAUAGCUUUAUUGGUAUUGCUGAAAUGAGGGAAUCAGCUCAGAUUCCGUGAGGGAAACUUGUCGAGUUCCCUUUGCCCAGGAAGUCACAACUCUUGAGCCUGUUUCCUUGUUUAUGAAAGUGUUGAGAAUAUUAAUGUUAACCAGUAUAUAAACUCAGAUACAUGUUUUCUCCUCCCCUCAUUCCUAGUAACUGACCCAUUUUGUUACAGCAUGGCCCAUUGUCUGAGAUGGAUGGAUGGCUGUGAAUCACAUUCUGCUUGGCAGUUCACUUGCUCCGGUGAUUGUCGCGACCCCAGCUUAGAAGGAGCUCCAUCCAGCCCUUUGAGAGGAUAUUGAAAAUGUCCUUCUACAAAGCCUGUCCAGGUGAACACAGUGUGGACUCCUGGUAUGAUCAUUAGACUAACAACCUCUCUGGACUGUUCACUUGCUGGAUGUGGAAAUCCAGCUUCAUAGUUUUACACUGGAUUGAGGCUUUCGGAGCACACUUCCAUCCAUAGCUCAGCAAUCUAUUAUCAGAGUUACAGGUCUUGGUUCCUGCUGCUUAUCAAUCUGUUCCUCCACUUGCUGUUUUUAUCGGCCUACUUCGGGCCUCACCAAGAAGAAUGUCUUGUUGUACCUGUCCUUUGGGAAUCUUUCCUACAACAAAUGCUAGAUUGUUCUCACUCUCUGGCUUCCUGGUUUGCUAUCAGUUAGAGUUGCUGAUACUAACAAUGUAUGUUCAGCUCAGUGCUGACAAAAAAACCAAACCAAAGC